rnacentral:rRNA from 1 species
UACGGGGGGUGCUAACGUUAUCCGGAUUUAUUGGGCGUAAAGCGCAUGUAGGUGGUUUGAUAAGUCAGCGAUUAAAGACCGACGCCUAACGUUGGAAGUGUUGCUGAUACUGUCAGACUUGGGGGAAACAGGGGUACGCGGAACUUUCGGUGUAGGAGUGAAAUCCGUAGAUAUCGAAAGGAACACCAAUGGGCGAAGGCAGCGUACUGGGUUUUACCUGACACUGAGAUGCGAAAGCGUGGGGAGCAAACGGGG